CGGAUCAAAUGUUAGGACUCUCAGCCGCGUUUGGCGAUCUAUUAAACGCAUUGGAAGAGAUUGGAAAACAGCCUGGUUUUUUAAUGUAGAUUACCAGGGGACAUAUCAGAAUGAAUCAGGGAAUAAAUUCAGCAGAAUUGAAGAAUUCAUGACGCUGAGAAUGCGCGGGGGUCGCAUUCUCCCCUUCUACGCAACGGCAGCUGUCUUCUUACUGACUAUGCUUUAUUACAUUGGCGGGGCAUGGCGGCGCAUACUGGACAGAAGACUCCUGACCGGCAUCAGGAUUCGACAGUUGAACGUCAUAGCCAACAACUUAUCUCGAAUCAUCAUGGCUACUGAAACGGAAUCGGCCGUACUCAACAGGGACAUCAGCAGAUUUCUUAAAAUCGUGGAAAAGCAAGUUCAGUUCAUGAAGGAUGCAGAGGAUGUAAACACUAGCAAAUAAGAAAUGGUUACAACCACACAUCCAAGGACAAUACUGGAUGUAUUGUUUCUGAAGUCUGUAAGGUACCUGAGGGUGUUAUGGGUGACCUAAGGUUUGGGUUUUUUUCGUGGUAAUUAUUUUUGAUGAAACCUAAAACAUUUUUGCACGCCUUUUUUGUCCAAUUAUCUGGCUAUCGGGAAAAAAUUAUUCCUCAAUAUAAUAUAACUCCCUUUUAGUGUGCAUAGGAAGUAAUUUUUUUAAUGCUUAUCGCUGGCUAUACCGCCAGCUAGGGUAAGUAAUAUGGCGCUCUGCUUUCAGAUCCUAAAAAAUUUAACACUUCAGGCAAUUUAUCAAAUUAGGUUGAGAAGAGAAAAGAAACAACAAAUGACAAAAAUUAAAGACUAAACUUUCCACGCUGAAAAGAAACAAAAUCGUGAUUUUUUUUUCAAUCUCAUGCAUUUCUCAUUAACAUAUUGUUGCAACGUCCACAUUUUCGCAAGUUUUUAUCUUCAUCUUCUUGUUGUAACUCCUCUUGUCCUCUUGAUGUAUAUCCUUUUGCCGAUUGGGUUAUUUUAUGAAUUUUAAAGAUUCAUUAAACAUGAUUCUGUUGAAAUAUCAAUCAACUUUAAACACAGCCCCCCC